AGGGCAGCUACACAGCGAUGUGAUGCAAAUCUCAGAAACCGUAGCUCAGUUCAGAUCGAAGGCUGCAACUCGCCUUCGUGAAGGAGGAAUCGCUAGUAAUUGCAGGUCAGCAUACUGCAGUGAAUUCGUUCCCGGGCCUUGUACACACCGCCCGUCACACCAUGGAAGUUGGUCACGCCCGAAGUCAUUACCCCAACCGAAAGGAGGGGGAUGCCUAAGGUAGGACUGGUGACUGGGGUGAAGUCGUAACAAGGUAGCCGUACCGGAAGGUGUGGCUGGAUCACCUCCUUUUUAGGGAGACCUACCCAUUUAGAUAUCGAAAACAAUCAGUCAUUAGAUACUAAACUGGUCUACUCUAGGUCGGUCGAGAAUCGGAAGUCUCUUUCAAAGUAUUAUUAAAGCUCUGGUCAAACUCAGCAACUAGGUAAUACCUAGACUGCUGGGAAUUACCAGCCAGAACCUUGAAAACUGCAUAGUAACGCGAGGCAGUUCAGGAAUCUUAUGCGAAAGCAGCAGAUAAACUGAAAGCAAAAAACCAAUGUAUUGUGGUCAAGCUAAUAAGGGCUAAUGGUGGAUACCUAGGCACACAGAGA
rnacentral:sRNA from 1 species